rnacentral:rRNA from 1 species
GACGAACGCUGGCGGCGUGCCUAAUACAUGCAAGUUGAGCGCUGAAGGUUGGUACUUGUACCAACUGGAUGAGCAGCGAACGGGUGAGUAACGCGUGGGGAAUCUGCCUUUGAGCGGGGGACAACAUUUGGAAACGAAUGCUAAUACCGCAUAAAAACUUUAAACACAAGUUUUAAGUUUGAAAGAUGCAAUUGCAUCACUCAAAGAUGAUCCCGCGUUGUAUUAGCUAGUUGGUGAGGUAAAGGCUCACCAAGGCGAUGAUACAUAGCCGACCUGAGAGGGGGAGCGGCCUCAUUGGGACGGAGACACGGCCCACACUACUACGGGAGGCAGCAGUAGGGAAUCUUCGGCAAUGGACGAAAGUCUGACCGAGCAACGCCGCGUGAGUGAAGAAGGGUGUCGGAUCGUAAAAGUCUGUUGGUAGAGAAGAACGUUGGUGAGAGUGGAAGGCUCAGCAAGUGACGGUAACUACACAGAAAGGGACGGCUAACUACGUG